UGGCUGUCAACUAACACCCACAGAUCCUUUUCCUCUGUGCAGCUCGCUAGCCAGUCUGCCUCAAGCCUGUAACAAUGAAUGGAGUUGUUACAAAUGUUUGGGACCCGGCACUAGAUCUUGUUAAAGCUCAUACAAUUGGCCUCUGCCCAUUGAUCCAGCCUAUCCAGAUCACUCCGUAGGGCCUUCCAAUCCUAAAGCAGAUCAACGCUUCCUUCCAACUUUAUGUCUGCACCUGCAAACUUACUGAGGGUGCACUUAGUCCAGAUCAUCAAUAAAGGUAUUAAACAGGUCUCAGUACCCCCUGGGAGCACCACUAGUGACCAGUCACCAACUGGAUUUAACUCAAUUCACUGCCACUCUCUGGUCCCAUCCAGCCAGCCAGAUUUUUACCUAGUGAAGAGUAUACCUGUCCAAACCGUGGGCAACCAGUUUCUCCAGGAGAAUACUUUCAGAGACGUAGGCAAAGGUUUUACUAAAGCCUAGGUAGAUUGCUUGUGGUCAAUCACUUGAUUUCAGGAGGCUGACAGCCCUCUCCUUCUUCCACAUGCCUUGGUGGCCACAGCUCGUGCCUGGAACAAAGAACAUGCAGAGCACCUGCCCACCUUACCCAUAGACUGAGCUACAGCCCAACGUGAUGGCCAGGCCAUAACCUUCCCCAGUCAGGUGUGUGCAGAAGAUGGCAGGGAGCUGAAGCACCCCUAGCCUCUUCUGUUGGACAGAAGCUCGCAGCAAUAUGAAUGAUAAGAAUUAUUGUGAUUACUUGCUCCAUAUGUUGGGUUGAAUUGGGUUAUCAAUAUGGGUUACAAGACCUAGAUGUAUAUGUGUAAUGAGUGGAAAGCUCUAAACUCCUUGCCUGUCCACAGCUCAUGAAUUUGUAUUACCUUCAAUUCUGAAACUAGUGUGUUCCUUUUAAUACUACUUUGGCAACUGACUUUUGUUUUGUUUUGUUUUGUUUUGUUUUGUGAAAUCUUGUGGUGUUGUAAGUCAAGUGUGCAGUGAGGUGGACAUCCUCUGGGAAGCUGCCCUUCUUCUUUGGGCCACGGGUUAAAAGAAAUCUCUCUGCUCCUUUGCAGAGGUGGCAGUUACACUGCCAAAACCCCAGAGAGAGAGGGAAGAACACCUAUAAAUUAUUUAUUUUUAAAAAAUAUUUUUAUUUGAGGUAAAGGUACAAAACAGCACUACAAAUACCACAAUAGUUUGCUUGCUGUGUCAGCAAUAGGCCUGAAAGACAAAUAUGUGCCGUAACCCACAUUUCAAAGGUCACUGCUACUGCUGCAGGCUUCUGAAAACACAGUCUGAGCAAGCGUCACAGCAUCAUGGCGUGUCUGAAGAGAUGGUCUGUUUUGAUGAUUAUACUGUACAAUUUCUAUCAAAAAUGCAUUCCAAGUGGAAUUUCAACGCAUGUUGAAAUAGCGCAUAGAGCUCUGGAAUUUUUCACCAAACGUGAAGGGAAUGUUGAUUAUAGACAGUUGUUACUAAACCACCAAGAUGCAUUUCAGGCUGGGAGCAUUUAUCCUGAUGCCUUUUAUCCUCCAAUCUGCAAGCGUGGGAUAUACCAUGAUGUGUCUGAAGACACUCAUUGGUCACCAUUUCUUAAUGCAAGUAUUCACUACAUCAGAAGGAAUUAUCCUCAGCCUUGGGAAGAGGCUACUGAGAAGCUGGUGGCUUUCCUGUUUGGAAUUGCCUCACAUAUGGUGGCAGAUGUUAGCUGGCAUAGCCUGGGCAUCGACCAAGGAUUUUUAAAGGCCAUGGGAGAAGUUGAUUUUCAUGGUUCAUAUUCAGAAGCUCACAAUGUUGGAGAUUUUGGAGGAGAUGUACUAAGUCAGUUUGAGCUGGACUUCAGUUAUCUGGCACCAAACUGGUAUGUACCUGUCAAAGACCUAGCCUCUAUCUAUAAGGAAUUGUAUGGAAGAGAGAUCAUAACUGAAGGCACAAUUACUGACUGUACUUACCUGCUGUUUCUUGAACUACAUGGAGAAAGGCUUGCUGUUGCCAAGCUUUUUCCAACAUAUGCUAGUAAAUCUCCAUUUCUGGUGGAAAAGUUCUAUGAAUAUUUCCUUGGAGGAGUAGAUGACAUGGCAUUCUGGACAAACAAUAUUUUUGAGCAGAUGAGCCAAAUGCUAGAGAAUGGAAGCAGUGGGUGCUUCCUGCCUGAAAACCCUCUGUUUAUAAACUGUACAAGGGACCACAAAGAUAACUACAUAAGCAAACACUCAAAAAAUGAGCAUCGCAAGAAUACAACUUCUUUACUUCCAAAAACACUUGAAAAGAAUAUAACAUAUACAGAGAGAGGAGUUCACUUCAAUAUACAAUCCUGGGCAACAAAUUCCCUCCGAUUCAUAAAUCGCGCUUUUGCAAAAAGUAUCUGGAGAGUGAUAGCAACUACACAUCAAAAAUCCUUUAAGUACAUCUCCAAGCCAGUAUCUUCAUAUUUUCUUACUUCACCAUAUGCUAGACUUGGAUGGGCAAUGAUCUCAGCUGACCUAAACCAGGAUGGAUAUGAAGAUCUGGUAGCUGGAGCACCAGGAUACAGCACGCUGGGCCACAUUCAGAUAGGACGAGUGUAUAUAGUCUACGGCAAUCGUUCAGGUUUACCACAGGAAGACAUGGAUCUAGAUGGGAAAGCAGACCACAUACUAGAGGGUCAUCAGCCUUCAGGCAGAUUUGGUUCUGCAUUGGCAGUUCUGGACUUCAAUGAGGAUGGAGUGCCAGAUCUGGCAAUUGGAGCACCUUCUGUGGGGUCUCAGUUUCUCACUUACAAAGGUGCUGUGUAUGUCUAUUUUGGGACUAAGGGAAGAGGCUUGGCAUCUCAACCAAACGUGACCAUAACUUGUCAGUAUUCCUACUGUAAUCUUGGUUGGUCCCUCCUGGCAGCUGACAUUGAUGGAGAUCAAAAUGGUGAUUUGGUUGUUGGCUCUCCAUAUGCACCUGGUAGUGGGCAGCAGAGAGGAUUUGUGGCUGCAUUUUACUCUUAUUUCAACAGAACUAACCAAGGACUUCUGUCUGUAGAGGAUGCCAACUGGAUGGUGAAUGGGGAAGAAAACUAUGCUUGGUUUGGAUUUUCACUUCAUAGCUGCCAAAUGGAGAAUGCAACACUACUGCUAAUUGGUAGCCCUACGUGGAAGAAUUGCGUCGAGUGCAAUCCCUUCUCAUCUGAUGUCAAACAGAGUGUUGGGAAAGUGUAUGGAUAUAACCCACCAAGCACAAAGCAUUGGUUUACAAUAGCUGGAAAAAAGGCAAUGGGCAGAAUGGGUUUGUCUCUGGCCAGUGGUGUGAUGUCUGUGGCUGGGAUCACCAGGACAGUUUUGGUGGUGGGUGCACCAACUACAGACAGUCUAUCUAGGAUUUCAUUUUUGUCCCCGGUGCUGCACCAAGCUGGACUGGCUCUGGUAUAUGAUCUGGCAGACAGCACCAAGCCUUCUUUGCUCAGCACAUUCAGUGGGGACAGAAGGUUUUCUCGCUUUGGAGGAGAUACUUACUUAAGUGACCUGGAUAAUGAUGGACUAGAUGAAAUGAUUGUAACAUCCCCCCUGCGAACUAACGAUAUCACCACAGUACUAUUUGGUGGGGCAGCUGGCCGUGUUUACAUUUAUAAUGGAAAUCAGGCAUCUUCAGGGAAUGUGACAGACCACUGCAAAUCAUGGAUAUCUCCCUGUCCUGAGGACUGGGCACAGUAUGUCCUCAUUUCUCCUGAGGAACAAUCAAGAUUUGGGAGUUCGGUCAUCACUGUGAAAUCUGAAAAAAAGGUGAGCAAAGUAAUUGCUUCUGGUUGCUUUGUUACAUCUGUCUAUGACACUUACGUGUACUGGUCAACACCUCAGGUCUUCUUCAUUUGCAGAAGCGUAAAGUAUUUUGCACUGUUAGUUAACUUACUUUUCCUUCAAGUCACUCUCUGUCUGAACUGGUAAUUAAAGCAGUUUUAUAGGUGUAUUAACUGUGGAGUUGUCAAAAUUUUGGCACCUGACACUUGAAUCAAAAGGGAUUGCUUUGAAAGGACCUAAAAUCUAAACUAUUAGGAGUUUCCUGAAAGGUUGCAUGGUAAAUAGUGCAUAGAUGCUAAAUGGCUUUACUGUUUGAACCAACCUGUAUGCAAAGUGGAUGCAAAGCAGGGAGCCUAUGACCUCUGUCAGUUAAUAUUCACAUGCUCACGGUUGUAGCUGUCAUUUCCAGUGAACACAAUUCAUGCGCUGAGUCUUUCCAAGCACAGAGAGACCCAGUUCUUACCUGAAUGGGUUUGGAUGCAUUUAUGCACCUGUUUAUCUUUGUUCUCUUCGGACAAACCAUUAUGAGUAUCAAAAAUCAAUCCCUAUGUUUGUAUGAUGCAGUAAGAAACCUUUCCCUCAGCUUGAAGGUUGUUCAGCUGAGGUGAGUCCAACAUUCUACUUACUCUGAUGUAACAGUAGGCUGAGGAGACGUACAACUGGUCUUCAACAAAUGUUCUUUGACUUUUUGCUCUUAAAACAUGCACUGAAGAAACACCUGGAAAUGCAAAUGCAUCUCAGUUAGAAGGAAGUUGUAGUGGCAGCAGAGAGAAGUUCAGCGAAAGCUCGACUUGGUGGAAGGCUUUUUGUCUACUCACUCUGAACAGUCA